rnacentral:lncRNA from 1 species
AUGUCACAAAUACCAACACUACGGGAUAAAAGGCUAUCCUUAAAGGAUUUACAUGCCCAGAUACAUCAUCAUCUACAUUUACAUCACUAUCGCCUACCCUACUACUUUAGCUUUCGACUCCGAGGAAUUCUUAUAGUUCGGAAAAUCGACUUCGUAAACCAACUAAGCUCCGCCUCGAGAUGUGAUUUGCGAUACAUAUGAACGAGCUCAGAUAUUAUACGUCGAUCUCAUGAAAAACAUAAGUCUUCGAGUUAAAGUCCCAGGGAGAUCGGCAUCACUACCCGUUCACCUGCCCAAAGCGCCAACAAAAAACCAGCAAGGUAUUCUGAAGGGCAAUGGAACAAGUGAAGGCAACACCAGAAAAUUGGGGAAAUAUUCUGAAGAGCAAUGGAACAAGUGAAUGUUAGCACCACGAAAGUUCUCUCCUCCUUUCCGAAGGAAGCAAGAGGAGGGGGCCAACCUGACGAUCUGCAUAAUACAACUUCAACCUCUUGUGGAACACCGAAGGAACACUUUGAAGACAUGAAAGACUUGCUUAGGUAAACAGUACGAAAAAAAGAUAUGGGGAAGAUGAGACUAGAG